rnacentral:lncRNA from 1 species
CAGGCUAACAGCAUGAGAUGGACAAAGUCCCAGCCUUAUUCUUCAAGCAAGUCAGAGCAGCCAUAGGUGUGUGGAAAGCCUCGUUUGGGGAAAUGCUGAAAUUUCUAGGCCAGACAUGAACUUAGCACUAGAAGCUGGAAGAGUUCUCAGACAGUAACACAACCGAUUAAAAAUGACAACAGCAAGAAGUGCCUCUUCAGUCCCUCCGAAGACCUUUGAAAGGCUGCCGCAUUAUACCCCAAAUACUGUGAUUGUUCCCUCUAUUUCUGUGAAGGUGUCUACCAAAGACUCCCACCAGAAGGUUUCCUUGCUGGGCAAGGAACAAACUGCACUAAGAUUUUAUUUAGGAACGUGCCCUGGAAGCAGCAGUGGCUCUGGAAGCUUCUGGGAACCUGACAUCCCUCCCAUAACUGGAUGGAGCUCACCUACAUCCCAGGUGGCUUUCAAUGACUCCCAGGGCCCGCUGCUCCCAGAAACCCUGCACACCCCAGUUCGGGAUGAGUGCCCAGAAGGCAAAAAAGCCCUGAAUGCCAUCAGGCAAAGCUGCGCCAGUUUGGGCACAAGGACCUUUGUUCAGGGGCCACAGGGAGCCCCCGGCCAGGAGGGCCCCAGUGAGGCCAGUCUUUGCCCACAGACUGAGGAGGAGCACUUCACUUGGCCGCCGUGGCAGCCUCUGCGGGAGCAGACAACCUGCAGAACACCCCCCUCUCGCACGUCCCAGACUUCUCGCCUGUUUCUGCAAGGCUUGUUUCCCCUGUACCACGGGAUGGAAGAAGGCAUGCAGGCCAAACCUACAGACAGUUUUUAA